GGGGUAGCAGAGAGGGAGGUCGGAACCUGUGUCCCAGCCGGUUUGUGUGCAGGCAAGAGGAAGGGCUUGGACUGCUCCACUUGCCCUGUUUGUCUUGCCUUUAUAAUAUGUUUGGGGCAAUGCAGGCAGGGAGAAUGAGGGCAUGGUUUUUCCCCAGCACGCAGUGGGUAUUUCCUUUGCAUGUCAUGGUCAGGCCUAGCCAGGGCUUCCACUGUCCCCUUCCCACACCAGUGGCUUCUUUUGCAAUCCCAAGUUUGUACACCAGUCCCAGAUGCUGGUGAGAGGACAGUGGUCACCCUGUGUGCCACUGAUGCAGCCCCCGCACGCCCAGGGAUGCUGGGGCCAGGCUCUGGGAGCAGCAGCAUCCCCCUGAUGAACUCCAUCUGUAUUCCACAGGAACACCAUCAUACAGCCCCCCGGAAUGGACCCGCUUUGGCUGGUACCAUGGCGAGCCAGCUACCAUCUGGUCCCUGGGCAUCCUGCUGCACCAGAUGGUCUGUGGGAAGAUGCCUUUCAGGAGGGGCUGGAACUUCAGCUGGGGCCAGCUCUCGCUGCCACAACGGCUCUCUCCAGAGUGCCAAAAUCUGAUUGGGUGGUGUUUAUCCAUGCACUCCUUGGCCAGACCCUCAUUAGAAGAGGUGUUCUGUCAUCCUUGGAUGCAGGAUAUUCCUCUGCCAUAGAAGAAGGGAGAGAGCCACAGGCACACUUUGAUCCAGGGCCCUGGGAAGGAGAAGGAGCUCCCAGAGAAGCUGUACCAGGUGGGGCUGCUGCUGCAGGAGACAGCGAGGAUGACAUCAAGGAUGACAACCUCUCCCUGGACCUGGCCACCAGCAGUUGAAGAGGAAGCAUUCUAGGUGGUCCAGUCUGGAUUGGGAAAUGUUGGGACCAGCUGUGGCGUGGAUGGGCCGUGCCCUUGGAGCAGGCUGAGAACAUCGUUUGGGACCAGCUUUUCUUCCAGCCGUGGAUGGCGUGAGCCAGGCUCUGCAGAUGCUGAGGCUGCUCUGGGCUCUGCCAGGGCUCUGCUGGAGCUCAGCACGGGGCCAGAAUCAACCAAAGAAGAAAUGGUGUCACCUGCAGCACAGACUUGCUUGAGCAUUUUGGCAACACAGCUCAAGUUUGCAGAGUGUACGCCUCCAAGGGAAAACAUGACACCUCCCAAAAAUUAAACUUGUUCAAUACCUUCUGAAAUCAAAUCAAUCUGGGAUGACUCCAAAUGACAUUUUUCAGCUUUCUCAAGAUGUAGCUCAGCCCUUCUCUGAACAGUUCUCUCCCCCACCUGCCUUUUACUUCUCAACUGCUCCCUUUUUUCCCCCAGUGAAUU